GAUGUGGUUUAUUAUUUGGAAGCUAAAUUGUAUUCAGUUUGUAAUUAUUUAUUGAGGAUACACAUUUGUGAUACAGCAGGAAGCUGGAACACAUUGUGGAUCAGAGCUUCCUCCAAAGUCUGGGAUGAUAUGACACAGACCACUGCAAUGUCACAAAGUGCAAACAUGAACUAAUAUGGUGUAGAAGAAUAUGUAAAUGGAUUGGACACAACGGGACCAGAUCACCCACAGCUGCAUGUAUACUAGCAGUGGGAGAAAACUUUAUUUUAACUGGCACCUUAUCAACCGGAACUCUUGAUACACCAGCAAAAAUCAUAUAGCUCAAAUACCGUGAUCUACCGCAACGUC